rnacentral:rRNA from 1 species
CCUACGGGGUGCAGCAGUGGGGAAUAUUGGACAAUGGGGGAAACCCUUAUCCAGCGACGCCGCGUGAGGGAAGAAGGUUUUCGGAUUGUAAACCUCUGUCAGUGGGGACGAUAAUGACGGUACCCACGGAGGAAGCCACGGCUAACUACGUGCCAGCAGCCGCGGUAAUACGUAGGUGGCAAGCGUUAUCCGGAUUUACUGGGUGUAAAGGGAGCGUAGACGGCAGCGCAAGUCUGGAGUGAAAUGCCGGGGCCCAACCCCGGAACUGCUCUGGAAACUGUGAAGCUGGAGUGCAGGAGAGGUAAGCGGAAUUCCUGGUGUAGCGGUGAAAUGCGUAGAUAUCAGGAGGAACACCGGCGGCGAAGGCGGCUUACUGGACUGUAACUGACGUUGAGGCUCGAAGGCGUGGGGAGCAAACAGGAUUAGAUACCCUUGUAGUC